UUUUUGAGUUUCUAUUUAUUUUCGAUUGGUAUCUAUGGAUUGAUCACAAGCCGAAACAUGGUUAGAGCUCUAAUAUGUCUUGAACUUAUAUUGAAUUCAAUUAAUCUAAAUCUCGUAACAUUUUCUGAUCUAUUUGAUAGUCGCCAAUUAAAAGGUGAUAUUUUCGCAAUUUUUGUUAUAGCCCUUGCGGCUGCUGAAGCCGCUAUUGGACUAUCCAUUCUUUGUUCCAUCCAUCAUAAUAGGAAAUCCACUCGUAUCAAUCAAUCUAAUUUAUUGAAUAACUAG
rnacentral:rRNA from 1 species